GACGAACCACACAAACGUUAUUCGGAAUCACUGGGCUUAAAGGGUGCGUAGGCGGCGCGACAAGUUGGGUGUGAAAUCCCUCGGCUCAACCGAGGAACUGCGCCCAAAACUGUCGUGCUCGAGGGAGACAGAGGUGAGCGGAACUUAGGGUGGAGCGGUGAAAUGCGUUGAUAUCCUAAGGAACACCGGUGGCGAAAGCGGCUCACUGGGUCUCUUCUGACGCUGAGGCACGAAAGCUAGGGUAGCGAACGGG
rnacentral:rRNA from 1 species